rnacentral:rRNA from 1 species
GGAUAAAGCUCCACCCAGCUGUAAAACGCCAAAGUACAACUAAAACCCACAUCCUUAACCACCUAAACCUUUUUAACUCGUGAAAACCAGGACACAAACUAGGAUUAGAUACCCUACUAUGCCCGGAUGUAACACAGCAACACCCUGCUCGCCAAAUAACUACGAGUGAAAACUUAAAACUUAAAGGACUUGACGGUACUUCACACCCAACCUAGAGGAGCCUGUCUAUUAACCGAUAAUCCACGAUUAACCCGACCGCUUCUAGCCACCCAGCCUAUAUACCACCGUCGCCAGCCUACCUUGUAAAAGAAACAAAGUAAGCUAAACAGUACUACACUAACACGACAGGUCAAGGUGUAACUAAUGAAACGGAUUAAGAUGGGCUACAUUCUCUAACCCAGAUUACACGAACAAGAUUAUGAAACUAAUCUUUAAAGGCGGAUUUAGCAGUAAGC